rnacentral:lncRNA from 1 species
AGAAAAUGAGCCAAAUUUAGUGACGACUGGGCACUGCCUUGCCAGAAAGCCCCUCUGGUCUAUUCAUCCCACACAGAGGACACAGUCCUCGAUUGGGUCCUGUUCUGUUAGCAAAAUUACUUUUCGUUGCUCCUUUGACCACCAAGCAACGUGGCCACAUCUGAUGGGUACUGGGGGUCAGACCCUCUCUGGAGUCUGGAUGGCAUUUCUGCUGUUUUUCUGCUUCCUGUUAAACCUGGGAGUACAAAUUGCCCUCCUGAGACCCUCCUGAGGGUCCCAGUCUGGCCAGGUGGGCUUUGUCUUCUGUCCCCUGCAGGCUGAAGCACUCUGACACUGACUUUCCUCUGGGAAGACAGAGAAAAGCAGCAGCCCAGGGGGACCAGGGCCACCUCUGCUUUCAGGGUGAGGGGAGGAGGCCUGUAUGACACAGGGCCUGUCCCCUGCAGGGGACACCUGCGACACACAAAAAGAAGGCUUGCAAAAACUCAAACACAGAGACCAAAUUUCCAGAAUUCAAAAUUCCAUCGAGGCCCUCCCUGAGAAAAAGGAAAGACACUCUGAGAAGGAAGGCUGCAUUCUGGAAGGUCACAGGGGAGAGUGGGCUCAGAGUGAAGAGCGAAACACCAGGAAGAAGGGAAGGGCCCCCUGAAAAGACGAAGGGCUGGGGACCCAUCCUAGGGCCCUGCACUCUGGGCAGUCGCUUUCCUAAAGGAGAAGCGGUCAUUUAAGAAAUAUUAGAGUAGCAGAGAGAUGUGGAUCCCAGGCCUGAAAGGGCUCUGCCCAGGGAGUUGAGACUCAGACACUGCCAGCCUCCGGCCGCCUGCCCUGCCUGGUGGCACUCCAGGAGGAAGACCAAGCCUUGGGAGCUUCCAGAAAGCUCCCUGCCACAACACAGGCAGCUUCUCAUUUGCAUCCCUGGAAGUGAGAAGGGAGGAAACCAAUUUGCAGACUGGAGAGAAGGCAGCGGAGCGAGAAGAGGAACUGAGGGAAACAGACCAGAAAACGCUCUUGCAAGUUGAAGAUCAAAUUGGAACAGAAGUCUCCGAAGAACAAGAACGGAAGACAGCGAAGAGGAGAGGUUACAGCGACAAAGCUCAUUUACAGCUCCAUUGUAAUGGAGAAUACUGCGCGUGAGGAAUAUGGUGUAAUUAGGAGGGAUUCUUCAGACUCUACAAUCAGAUCCUGAGACUGAAACUAACAGCUCUGACUACAUCUGCGAGCCUCAGGGGUUGUCGGGGAGCGGCACCCCAGCAACAAAGGGGAAGUCAAAGUGUCUGGACUUCUCUUCUUGGGGAGGUGAAGCAGAAAGUAAGACCUCGGGGGUGGAAUAUUUUUCAUAUUUAACUUGGAUAUGGCAAGAGAGAAUCAAAGGCUUAAAUAAGGUUCAGAGGCCAACGUUAAGCAUCCUUCACCGGUCAAACCAUGACUGGGACGUGCAGUCCUAGAGCCCCUGGCCAGGGCAGCUACACUGACCCCUGUGUCCAGCAGGGAUGGUGUGGCCCUGGGCCAGUUGCUGGGGUAGGUGGCAGCUGAGUCCUCCACUUCCUGGUUGUGCUAGAAAUAGUGGAUCCCUUUUGGGUCAGCUCCGUGGGGUGGCUUGGACAGUCACUUCCAAAAGCUCAGCCCAAACCUGCUCCCCCAGCUUCUCUGACAAUUUUGUAGGCACUGAACUUCUUGUAUAAAUUUCUCUAUGAUUAAAC